rnacentral:rRNA from 1 species
AACAAACGCUGGCGGCGUGCCUAAUACAUGCAAGUCGAACGGGGAAAGUAGCAAUAUGAGUACUAGUGGCGCACGGGUGAGUAAUACGUGGAUAAUCUGCCUUAGAGUGGGGGAUAACUAGUCGAAAGAUUAGCUAAUACCGCAUAAGACCACAGGAGCUGCGGCUCAAGGGGUCAAAGGUUUUUCGCUCUAAGAUGAGUCCGCGUAAGAUUAGCUAGUUGGUGAGGUAACGGCUCACCAAGGCGACGAUCUUUAACUGGUCUGAGAGGAUGAUCAGUCACACUGGAACUGAGACACGGUCCAGACUCCUACGGGAGGCAGCAGUAGGGAAUAUUGCACAAGGGAGGAAACUCUGAUGCAGCGACGCCGCGUGAAUGAUGAAGGCCUUCGGGUCGUAAAGCUCUGUCGCAGGGGAAUAACACAAUGAAGGUACCCUGUAAGACAGGAUCGGCUAACUUCGUGCCAGCAGCCGCCGUAAGAC